rnacentral:rRNA from 1 species
GAGCGGAAACGCCUUCGGGGNUACUCGAGCGGCCAACGGGUGAGUAACACGUGAGCAACCUGCCCCUGGUCUCUGGAGAUAGCUCCGCGGAAACCGGGUAUUAAUACCGUGAUGUGACCCUCCUCUGCAUGGUGGGGGGUGGAAAGUUUGACGGCCAGGCAUGGGCUCGCGGCCUAUCAGCUUGUUGGUGGGGUAGUGGCCUACCAACGCGACGACGGGUAGCCGGCCUGAGAGGGCGACCGGACACACUGGGACUGAGACACGGCCCAGACUCCUACGGGAGGCAGCAGUGGGGAAUAUUGCGCAAUGGGCGAAAGCCUGACGCAGCGACGCCGCGUGCGGGAUGAAUGCCUUCGGGUUGUAAACCGCUUUCAGCAGGGGCGAACCAAGACGGUACCUGCAGAAGAAGCGCCGGCUAACUACGUGCCAGCAGCCGCGGUAAU